rnacentral:rRNA from 1 species
AACGAACGCUGGCGGCAUGCCUAACACAUGCAAGUCGAACGAGACCUUCGGGUCUAGUGGCGCACGGGUGCGUAACGCGUGAGAACCUGCCCUUAGGUUCGGAAUAACUCCCCGAAAGGGGUGCUAAUACCGGAUAAUGUCUUCGGACCAAAGAUUUAUCGCCUUUGGAUGGGCCCGCGUUGGAUUAGCUAGUUGGUAGGGUAAAAGCCUACCAAGGCGACGAUCCAUAGCUGGUCUGAGAGGAUGAUCAGCCACACUGGGACUGAGACACGGCCCAGACUCCUACGGGAGGCAGCAGUGGGGAAUAUUGGACAAUGGGCGAAAGACUGAUCCAGCAAUGCCGCGUGAGUGAUGAAGGCCUUAGGGUUGUAAAGCUCUUUUACCCGGGAUGAUAAUGACAGUACCGGGAGAAUAAGCUCCGGCUAACUACGUG